rnacentral:rRNA from 2 species
UUUAUGGAGAGUUUGAUCCUGGCUCAGGAUGAACGCUGGCGGCGUGCCUAAUACAUGCAAGUCGAGCGAACGGACGAGAAGCUUGCUUCUCUGAUGUUAGCGGCGGACGGGUGAGUAACACGUGGAUAACCUACCUAUAAGACUGGGAUAACUUCGGGAAACCGGAGCUAAUACCGGAUAAUAUUUUGAACCGCAUGGUUCAAAAGUGAAAGACGGUCUUGCUGUCACUUAUAGAUGGAUCCGCGCUGCAUUAGCUAGUUGGUAAGGUAACGGCUUACCAAGGCAACGAUGCAUAGCCGACCUGAGAGGGUGAUCGGCCACACUGGAACUGAGACACGGUCCAGACUCCUACGGGAGG